AGGACGAACGCUGGCGGCGUGCUUAACACAUGCAAGUCGAGCGGAAAGGCCCUUCGGGGUACUCGAGCGGCGAACGGGUGAGUAACACGUGAGUAAUCUGCCCCUAGCUCUGGGAUAGCUCCGGGAAACCGGGAUUAAUACCAGAUACGACCACUUUAGACAUCUUCUGUGGUGGAAAGAACUUCGGCUAGGGAUGAACUCGCGGCCUAUCAGCUUGUUGGUGAGGUAACGGCUCACCAAGGCGACGACGGGUAGCCGGCCUGAGAGGGCGACCGGCCACACUGGGACUGAGACACGGCCCAGACUCCUACGGGAGGCAGCAGUGGGGAAUAUUGCGCAAUGGGCGAAAGCCUGACGCAGCGACGCCGCGUGGGGAUGAAGGCCUUCGGUUGUAACCCCUUUCAGCAGGGACGAAGCGAAAGUGACGGUACCUGCAGAAGAAGCGCCGGCUAACUACGUGCCAGCAGCCGC
rnacentral:rRNA from 1 species